AGAGUUUGAUCCUGGCUCAGAUUGAACGCUGGCGGCAUGCCUAACACAUGCAAGUCGAACGGAAACGAUGCUAGCUUGCUAGCAGGCGUCGAGUGGCGGACGGGGGAGUAAUACUUAGGAAUCUGCCCAUUAGUGGGGGACAACUAGAGGAAACUCGAGCUCCUACGGGGGAAAGCGGAGGACCUUUCGGGGCUUCGCGCUAAUGGAUGAGCCUAAGUCGGAUUAGCUUGUUGGUGAGGUAAAAGCUCACCAAGGCGACGAUCCGUAGCUGGUCUGAGAGGACGAUCAGCCACACUGGGACUGAGACACGGCCCAGACUCCUACGGGAGGCAGCAGUGGGGAAUAUUGCACAAUGGGCGAAAGCCUGAUGCAGCAAUGCCGCGUGUGUGAAGAAGGCCUGAGGGUUGUAAAGCACUUUCAGUAGGGAGGAUAAUGACUGUACCUACAAAAGAAGCACCGGCUAACUCCGUGCCAGCAGCCGCGGUAAUACGGAGGGAGCGAGCGUUAAUCGGAAUUACUGGGCGUAAAGCGCGCGUAGGCGGCUUUGUAAGUCGGAUGUGAAAUCCCUGGGCUCAACCUGGGAAUUGCAUUCGAAACUGCCUCACUAGAGUUUAGCAGAGGGAUGGGGAAUUCCGGGUGUAGCGGUGAAAUGCGUAGAGAUCCGGAGGAACAUCAGUGGCGAAGGCGACUUACUGGACCAAUACUGACACUGAGGUGCGAAAGCGUGGUGAGCAAACAGGAUUAGAUACCCUGGUAGUCCACGCCGUAAACGAUGGCAACUAGCCGUUGGGAGCAAUUAAGCUUUUAGUGGCGCAGCUAACGCAUUAAGUUGACCGCCUGGGGAGUACGGCCGCAAGGCUAAAACUCAAAGGAAUUGACGGGGGCCCGCACAAGCGUGGAAGCAUGUGGUUUAAUUCGAUGCAACGCGAAGAACCUUACCAGCCCUUGACAUCCUGUGAACUUUCUAGAAAUAGAUUGGUGCCUUCGGGAACACAGUGACAGGUGCUGCAUGGCUGUCGUCAGCUCGUGUCGUGAGAUGUUGGGUUAAGUCCCGCAACGAGCGCAACCCUUGUCCUUAGUUGCCAGCACGUAAUGGUGGGAACUCUAAGGAGACUGCCGGUGAUAAACCGGAGGAAGGAGAGGAUGACGUCAAGUCAUCAUGGCCCUUACGGCCUGGGCUACACACGUGCUACAAUGGUCGGUACAGAGGGUUGCCAAGCCGCGAGGUGGAGCUAAUCCCAGAAAACCGACCGUAGUCCGGAUUGGAGUCUGCAACUCGACUCCAUGAAGUCGGAAUCGCUAGUAAUCCCGAAUCAGAAUGUUCGCGGUGAAUACGUUCCCGGGCCUUGUACACACCGCCCGUCACACCAUGGGAGUGGGUUGCAAAAGAAGUGGGUAGACUAACCUUCGGGAGGUCGCUCACCACUUUGUGAUUCAUGACUGGGGUGAAGUCGAAACAAGGUAGCC
rnacentral:rRNA from 1 species